rnacentral:rRNA from 1 species
GACGAACCGUGCAAACGUUAUUCGGAAUCACUGGGCAUAAAGGGCGCGUAGGCGGCUUGAAAAGUCAGGGGUGAAAUCCGGCAGCUUAACUGUCGCAGUGCCUUUGAUACUGUCGAGCUCGAGGGAGGUAGGGGUCUGUGGAACUUCCGGUGGAGCGGUGAAAUGCGUUGAUAUCGGAAGGAACGCCGGUGGCGAAAGCGACGGACUGGAUCUCUUCUGACGCUGAGGCGCGAAAGCCAGGGGAGCAAACGGG